CCUGCUCCAACCCACUGCACCACCGCGCCCCCCUCUAUAUAUUCGCAUACAAAUGUAAAUAUAAAAUUAAAGAAAAUUUGUAAAAAUGGACAAAUUCAGCUGGACGCCAAGAGAGAAAGUUUACACAAUAAGACUCAAAUGUCUUUUCCAUGGAAUCCGUUUUGGGAAUAUUUUUGAAUUGUAAAUGUUAGUGUCAGAAACACGGCGUGUCUCCUCGCUUUAGGCCACCUUCAGCUCCGGUCCUUCAGCUGUCCCACAUGACUGCAGAUGAGAAAGUUGGCAGGAGGCCACGCCCCGUGGGGGGCGCCGCUGCGCACGCAACGCGUCCGGCUCUCCUACGCAUUGUCCGGGGACACAUUCCUGGCGGGCGAAUGAUGUUUAGGUUCAUCCCAUAAUAAGAUGUUCAGCUGUCCUGGAAAAGAAAGAACUUCUAUCUUUGCUGAAAUUUUUUAUGUGAAUAAAACUUUGGAAACACAACUUUUUUCCUCUACACAACUGGAAGCCAGAAGACACUUGGCCUCUUUGGCCUCCCGUCGCUCUGUUAGUAGGUGUCUGCCCACCGCCCCCCAGCAGGCCGACCCCGUCACCGGCAUGGUGUUGGAUCUCGAGUUUAUUUCUACCGGCGUUUUGCCCUCACCCCACACACUGCAGGUAGAGUGAACAUCUCAUUUGGCGACAUCCCCUCAGGUGGCCCAUGUGACCCACGCAUCCCACCCGUUGCAGUAAGUGCUUAUGUAUGGCAGCUGAACAAUCUCACGGCACUAGCAGUGUGGUGGGAUUGUUAUUUAUAUUCCUGCCAUGGGUUUCACUUCUAAAGAAGCGGGUCAGAACAGAGCGAGGGGCCCCAGCGGGUGUUCGACACCGAGAGUGCAAUGCCCGGUAACCUGAUAGGUUAUCUACUGCGGCUGAGGGGGUGGGAGGAAAGCUGUGGGUGGGAAUCCAUGCUGGAGGGGGAGUCGACAUCACCCUCCCGUGACCAUGAGUGAUACCGCUCUCCCGUGACCGUGACCUCUACGGCACUGCAACCUGUGGUUCCUCUGCUGGGUGAUGAUGUGCUAAGGAAGAAAGAAAAAAAAAGCCAAUGCAGCAUCACCACUGGGAAGAAAAGGCUGAAGGCUUCUUUUUGACCUUUCUCCCCAGAUUGAGUUUUAAUGUUAAGCUUCUUACAAUUGUUUGCCUGUCUGUACGCUGGGUAAUUUUCAACCGUAUUAAUUCAGGGGUUGUACCUUGAUCAAGGGUACCACAGUAGGGGCCGGGAUUCAAACUUGGGUCAUCAGAGUCUCAAAGCAACACCUGCUGCCCCCUUGGAAGUCUUUCUCGGUCUUGAUGGUCCUGGUCCUUUCCGGCUCACUUCAAGGCUUUCUUUUUGAAGACGCUCUUUUUCAUUUAUUAAAAUAUUUAAUGUAUCAGAGAAUAUGAGCUCCUUUCCAAACACGAACAUCCAAGGGCAGGUAGAGAUCCAGAAAACUCAGCAUCAAAGAGUAUUUACUGUUAGAUCAGUUUUUGGGCUAUUUGCUCCCUUGGAACGUGGGAGGGAAGUUCAGAAAAGGUAGCUUAGAUGCAUGACGUUAUUUCUAGCUUUUUGAAGAAAUUGUAUUUCCAAAACUUCUUUAUUCAGACCACGUCUUGCAGUUUCAUCGGUUCUUUAUGAGUUUCUACAGACGGGACAUCGAAAAUCCAUCCCGUUUUAACGCUGUUGAGCGUUAAUGUCCUGUAUGUGGUGCUUCAUGUCCUCCGUCUCCCUUUAGCAGAAUUAUAUGCGCUCUAGAAUUGUUAAGAAAAAUCUAUAUGAAUGUCUCAUUACCAAGACAGGGAAUGAUUCCUGCUUUGAGCGGAGCAGGACUGGCAGCUUCUGAUUGGCCGGUCUGCUAACAUCACCUAGCCAAUCACAAUAGGUCUGGGGGGAAGGGAGGGAACGUACCUUAGCGACACCAUUACAUGGCGGAUGAUCUGAUCUCCAAACUUUGGUUCCCUCAAAAUCGAAAUCAGCUGGAUUUCAGCUCUGGCUAAAUAGUAAACAGGUCCAAAAUCUGUGAAAAAUUCUAAGUUAAUUUCAUCAGUUUGACAAUUACUUCGAGUGAGAUGUUCGAAGGCAUAAUAACAUUUGUUUGUUUGAACGCAUCUGCACACCUAUUGUCGACAUCUUAGCGACACCUCCCUUUACUGCGGUAAAGUUCAUGACUUUUCCUUAAAUUUAAACGUAAAUAACAUUGUUUCCCAUUCAUUAUUUUUAUUAUUUGUCUCGACUUCCUGUUGCCCGUGACAUUGGUGAUCCAGACAUCCUGUAACUCAAGAUGCGUUACGUCCGCCCGAAACAAAAAAAUCUGUUUGUGGACAAAAGCUGCUGACCCAUCACCCUCAUUGUGUUUUGGCGCGAAAUGAUGUCGCCAUAAAACGCCAAAACAACAGAUGGACAGUCUGUGGCUUAUAACCCAGAUUUUAUUGGUCUAAUCCAUCCCAUCACUGCCGGAAUUUCAGCGUCCCCAAAUACCGGGGUGGCGUGGGGGGAUGUUUUGUCUUAGGCGGCCUGUCCACUCGCAUCCUGUCCUCUUGUGUGAUCUUUGCGCCCCCCUGCCGCACCCCUACAAUGGACCAUCGGCGGUUCCCAGCCUGUCCCACCCCGUCGUGGUCAAUAGCAACCUUGAUGUUGAUGUCGUUGACACGUCUUGACCUGCUCGGCUGGUGACAGAUCAUUAAGGGGUGACCCCACAAAACCAGGUCAUUUUCAGGAUUACAGCCCCCCGAUCUCGGCUCCACCCUAUUCCCAAGGAGUGGGAUGCCCCCCUGCCAAAACGAAAAAAAAAAAAAAACAGCGCCCUGAAUGUGAGCAGCUCGUCCAGGCUUGAGAGGAUUGUCCCCGCAAAUUAGUUUAUUAGGAAUCCCUCAUUACAAGCUACUAAUCUGUCUGCUGGGGCAGCCGCUUAUCUUCGCAGCCAACUGCUUAUUGGUGGGCCUAUGGUGGCGUUGCGUGUGGAAUAAAAAAUAAAGACUUAAAAAUACA
rnacentral:lncRNA from 1 species